UGGGACGGCCUUUCCCUACUCGAAACAUAAUAAAUCGUCCCAUAUGUUUUCGUGCAAAUAAAAAUCGACUCCCUGUGCCCAAAUGACAUCUUUGAUUUCCUUUUGUUAACUAAAUUCUAAAAUACUUUAAAACAUCCUCAGACGUCUACGGCCGCGAAUAGGAAAGUGGAAACCUCUGGAUUAAGAAAAGUUUCAGUGAAAACUAUUCCAAAUGGCUCUUGGUGAAUAUGACUUGAGAUUCUAGAUUUAACAACAUGGCAGAUAUAGAAUGUGGAGGAUAUCAAUUCCUCCACAACUUUGAUUCUGGAAAUUUGGCUAAUGUCGAGUAUCUCGGGUAUUAUGAACCCGAAGAUGAAGAGCCAUAUUUUGAAUUUGAUGUUUGGACAAGACCUGAUAAUGGAGGCUCCGAGUAUGAGAAUGGGAAUCGUACCUGGUUCUACUUUGGUAUCAGAGGUGGGACACCAUUCAGCACCAUAAAGUUGAACAUUCAGAUGAAUAAGCAAAGCAAGAUGUAUGGCCAAGGGAUGGCACCUGUUUAUCGGGUGCUCCCUGGAAGAGGGAAUUGGGAAAGGAUCAAGGACAGGCCGACGUUUUCAGUAAAUCUCGUGCAAAAUAUAACAAGUGGAAAAUUUAUUCUAAGUUUCAAACAUAAAUUAGGGGAAACUGAGAAGACGACAACAUUUUUCGCAUUCACAUACCCAUUUUCUUAUUCCGACCUCCAGAGUUUUUUGUGUUCGUUAGACUUCAUGUACCGAAUGAAGAAUGAGACAUCAACACACACAAAAGUAGAUGAUAUUUACUAUCACAGAGAGUUGCUGUGUUACACUCUAGAGAAACGAAGAGUUGAUUUAAUAACAAUAUCAUCCCACCAUAACAUUAGCACUCAACGAGAGCCAAGAUUCGAACAUCUAUUCCCCGAUCUGUCGACACCCAGAUGUUUCAAAUUUAUCAAAAAGAAUGAAAGUGAAAGUGAUAAAUAUCUCUUCAAGUUCAGAAGACAAUUCAUGAAACCGACUCAAAAACAGGUAAUAUUUCUCAGCGCCAGAGUUCACCCUGGAGAAACGCCUUCGAGCUUUGUCAUGAAUGGGAUUUUGUCGUUUUUGAUGUGCAAAGAGGAUCCUGUUGCCAUAGCCCUAAGAAAGUAUUACGUCUUCAAGAUAAUACCAAUGAUCAAUCCCGAUGGGGUUUAUAGAGGCAAUUAUAGGACAGAUACAAGAGGAGUCAAUCUUAACAGGGUUUACCUAAAUCCUUCUCCUACUGAUCAUCCUGCAAUUUAUGGCGCAAGGAAAUUGAUCCUCUUUUACCACCAUGGUCGUGAAGUUGAAGAACCGCCAAAUCUAUUUGCUGCUUUCAGCCUUCCUAGCCCUAAUGAUAAAACAGAUGACACUGAUUUGAAAGUACUAAAAACUUACGAUCAGGCUGAUGAUAGCCCAGAGGAGGAAUGCGAUGACAGCUGUGGGGAUUUAAUCCACCUUCCGAACAAUGGAACUGCGGAUUGUAACGAAGAAAAAAAUAGUCCAGAUUUGUCUUUCCACCAGUUGAUAACACCGCCUGAAAAUUCUGGCAUAUUUCUGUACAUUGAUAUGCAUGGUCAUGCCUCAAAAAAAGGCAUUUUUAUGUAUGGAAAUCAUUUUAAAAACAUGCAAGAUAACAUUGAUUGCAUGCUACUGCCAAAGUUGAUCUCAAUCAAUUCCCAACAUUUCCAUUUCGACUCAUGUAACUUUACAGAGAGAAACAUGUAUCUCAAGGAUAAAAAAGAUGGCAGUUCGAGAGAAGGCGCAGGCAGAGUCGCCACGCUAAAGUUAAUAGGGCUGAUCAGAAGUUAUACUUUAGAGUGUAAUUACAACAUGGGGAAGAGAGUGAACCAUCUUCCUCCACCCCUGCGAGAGACUCUAGACAAGAAGCCCAUGCAACCGCAUAUAACACCUCCAAAGUUCACGCCACAGAUUUUUGAAGAGGUUGGACGUUCCAUUCUUUGGUCUGUUCUUGAUUUAAAUGGUCUUCAUCCAAAUUCUCGCCUUAUUAAUUCAUCAUAUAGAUGUUUGUUGAAUGUACGAGAAGUGCUGAAGUAUAAAGUAAUUGCUGAUCAAAAUCUGAGUGACGGCAAAGCCGAAAUGAAAAAAGCUAGAAGUAGCAAGGUGAAGGGUGACAAUAGUGGCAUCACUUUCAAUGGUAGCAAACCAAAAGUAAACAACCGAGGAGAAGAUAGAUCCAGGAAAUCGAAGGUGUCCCCAAACCCUUCGAAUAGCGCUUCUCUGUCUAAAUUUGGGACCAAAGGUCAGCCCAGCCAUGUGUCGACUGCACCAGAAAUAAGGAAAAAGCGAAUGAAAAGGACAAAUUCACCUAAUUGGAUGAGUAUGUCUCGUCUCGAGAAAAAAGGCGAUGCCAAAAGGCUUCUGCCUGAACAGCGUAGGAAGAAGUUGAAACCAAAGAAGAAGAACAGCAUCACGAAAAAAAUAUCUUUGCAGUAAAUGAAAGGGAUUCUUUAGUAUAUGUAUUGGAAGAACUGCUUAAACGAGCUACUAUCAUCUGCUGAAAGAUAACACUAUAGCUUGACGUUUUUUCAGUUUGCCAUUCUUCUCACAAAUAAGCAAAGUAUUGCUGCUGUUGUCAGCAAGUAAAUCAGUCAUUCACUCGUGGGGAGCUUGCACAUAGUGUUUAAUUGUUAUAUUCAAAAUCUAAUUAUU
rnacentral:misc_RNA from 1 species